GGAGAGGUGCCAGAGCGGUUGAAUGGGGCGGUCUCGAAAACCGUUGAUGACUUGUCAUCCCAGGGUUCGAAUCCCUGCCUCUCCGCCA
rnacentral:tRNA from 1 species